rnacentral:tRNA from 1 species
UGGCUGAAUGGUAAAGUGCUGGGCUUCCAAACCAGGGGUUCCAUGUUCAAAUCCUGG